rnacentral:lncRNA from 1 species
UUUAGUUUUAGAUUUUGGGUUGGAUCAAUCCAUGUUGUACUUUGAAGUAUGGAAGUCAGCCUCCGUAUCUUUAUGUUGUUUUUAUUAUAUUUGAUCUAGAGAAUAUAAAGUAUUUAGAAAAUAAAAUUUAUAAUUUAUCGAUAUUAUUAUUGGUGAUUAAAAAAGCUCAAAAUAAAUGGCUUAAAAUAAAAUUAUAUAAAAAAAUGAUGAUACAAUACUGAAAUUUUAGACUAGAAACAUUGAUCUAGCUUUAGAUAAUAGAAAGAAUUUUCCAUAAAAAUUUAUCUGAGCUGAAUAUUUCUACACUAUUAAACUUGUAAACAGCUCACAUCUGUCAAUAAAAUAAUUAAUUUUCAGUCUGUUCGAUUACUACAUAAAUAAUAGGCUAAAAUACAAAAAAAAAUCUCUCUGUAAAUAUUCGCUUUUUCACUUCCUCUCCUUACUUUUAAAAAUCUACAUUUUAUACUCUUAAAAUUUCAAGUUGAUAUUUUUAAUUCUCUUUGUUAGAGUUUCGUCACUAUUCUAUUUAUUUCUUAUGAUGUAUACUGAAAAUGCACUUGAAAGUGACAGAAAUAUGUUAAAUAAUUAUUUUUUUCUUAUAGAAUAUGUGGGAGCAAUUUGGUCAUUUCACUGUCACACCCUAAUAAUCUCAUAUCGGAUAUGAAUAGAGAUGUGAUUGGGUAUAUAAGAGAUUUAGAUACUAAUAAUAAUAACUGAGCUUAAAUAUUUUGGGCCGGUGUUUGGGCCAAACGAGUUAUUGUUGCUAGUGGGCUGAGUCGUUAUAUUUGGUAUCAUAGCUAAUCACCAGCUGGAAAUGUGUAGCGAGCCUCGACUAAGUUAGGAUCUGAAAAAUAAGGUGAUAGGCUAUACCGGAGUCUAAAUGAUAAAGUGACCGGCUAUGUCAGGGUCUGGAUGAUAAGGCUAGCGAAACGAGUCUCACAUCACCUAGUGGCCUAGUGAUCUUGGGCUGUGUGUGUGAUUGGACUGACGAGUACGUUAGGGCCUUAACGGGUGGGGAUGUGACCUAGUGAUCUUGGGCUGUGUGUAUGAUUGGACUGACGAGUACGUUAGGGCCUUAACGGGUGGGGAUGUGAUUGAGUACAUAAGAGACUUAGAUACUAGUAAUAAUAACUGUGUAAUUGAGUACAUAAGAGACAUUAAGUAUUUUGGGCUAGUGGUUGGGCCCAACAAAUUAUUGUUACUACUGCGCUGAGUCAUUAUGUUCACUUUCUCCAUUACUGCCAUAGUUUUUAAAUAUUUUAAAAUUUUAAGAGGACGAAACGUAGAUUUUUGAAACUCGGAGAAGAAAAAUGAAAAAAUGUGUAUUUACAAGAGAAAUUUCUAAAUUUUAGUCUAAGUAAUAUUAAAAAAAUAAAAACUUAUAUUUUAAUAUUUUAAAUAUUUUAAAUUAAAUUUAAUGAAGUUUAUAAUUAAUUCAGAAGUUCCAACAUCGAGAAUAAUUUUGAAUCGCGUAGAUUCUCUUGUUUCUGAGAGCACUCUAACUAGACUCAUUCAUUUUUUUUU